GGAUUCGUAGCUCAGCGGCAGAGCGGUCGCUUCACAUGCGACAGGCCGAUGGUUCAAAUCCAUCCGAAUCCA
rfam:Candidatus Levybacteria bacterium RIFCSPLOWO2_01_FTLL_42_15 rifcsplowo2_01_scaffold_9545, whole genome shotgun sequence.